GUAGGUGGCAAGCGUUGUCCGGAAUUAUUGGGCGUAAAGCGCGCGCAGGCGGUCCUUUAAGUCUGAUGUGAAAGCCCACGGCUCAACCGUGGAGGGUCAUUGGAAACUGGGGGACUUGAGUACAGAAGAGGAAAGCGGAAUUCCAAGUGUAGCGGUGAAAUGCGUAGAGAUUUGGAGGAACACCAGUGGCGAAGGCGGCUUUCUGGUCUGUAACUGACGCUGAGGCGCGAAAGCGUGGGGAGCAAACAGGGAUUAGAUGCCCUGGUAGUCCACGCCGUAAACGAUGAGUGCUAAGUGUUAGGGGGUUUCCGCCCCCCUUAGUGCUGCAGCUAACGCAUUAAGCACUCCGCCUGGGAGUACGGCCGCAAGGCUG
rnacentral:rRNA from 1 species